GGCCUCGUGAUGUAGGGGUUAGCACUUUAGACUCUGAAUCCAGCGACCCGAGUUCGAGUCUCGGUGAGGCCU
rnacentral:tRNA from 1 species